GGCAAAGAAGACAGGAGUUGUUGUGAAGAUUUUCCUGAUUUUUUCAAGAAAUAUGCAGAAUCACAGCGUGUUGUAUGUAGUAAUGAAACUGCAAGCAGUGGUUUCAUAAAGAUAGACAUGCUUAAGACCUGGAUGAUAUGGCUUUAGUUGUGGAAGACCAUUUCCAUUCAGGAAAAAAUCCCAACCAAGUCCAGCUAGCAGACUGUACACCAGAUUGAAGAUACAUCAUUAAUACCAGAUGAAAAAAAUUAAUGGAGGACGAGGAUAAUACUAUGAAAGAGAUCAGAUGCAAGAGAAACCGUUCCCACAGAAAUACAUGCAGCCAUGUAAACAGAAACCAGUUUUCACCUGCCAGGUGCUGGUCACAUAUAAAUUCAACUUGGUAUGCUAUAUAAUUUUCUGUUUUAAGUAUAAGGCAGUUGUCAAGGAUUUUAACAGUUACAAUGAAAGUACAUGUAGUAAGAAAUUGCCAUAAUGAAACAUUCUUUUUUUAUACAUUUUAGGAACAGAUUUAAGAAACAGAUCCAGUUGUUUGCUGAUAAAUUACUGCAGGUCAUUGGUAUCAUCUAGAACCAGAACUGUUUUAAAAAUCAUACUAGUAUGUUUGGAACAAAAUCAUGCUAGUAUAUGUUAGGAAUUUAACCUAAAACAUGCUUUAUGAAGGUUUUGGUCAAAUUUUGGUUUACAAAAUAAGGUUUUUCAAACUUUCUAUUCAAAUUUAGCAAGAACAUUAGACACACAUGUAAUCCCAAAUGCUUUUAUGUUAGAUUAUUGCUUUAUUUAAAAAACUUGCAUAUAGGGUCUGUAAUGAUUUGAGAUAAUUAUGUAAACAAUAAAAUGCUUUCUUUGGUGACAUAUGCGGGAUAUGAAUGAAGCGACAUUGCAGAAAAAAUACAUUACCUGCAUUAGCGAGAUAUGUAAAUUUUUUCUGCAAUCAUUGCUCCCUUCAUUACCUGCAUGAAUCCUCAAAGAAAGCAUUAUAUUGUUUAUAUUUACAUCUUUCUUUUAACAAAUUAAUAAAUUGUUUGUAAAGAGUAAGUUAAAUUUACUAUAUUAUUUUUAAUGUGCAUCAGUACGUUAGCUAAAAGAAACAGCCAAAUUGUCUUCAAUGGGAAUGUGAGUCUGCAUUGAUAUCCUGAUUAUUUCAGUGAUUUUUCUAAGGUCAUUGUAGGUUUCGACCAAUCGUUAAACAAGGCGUUAGCUAUAAGUUUCCAUAAGAAAUGGAGGAAAGCAUACUCAUUAGAUGUAAAUAUAAUUCAGUAAACAUAUUGAUUAACAAAAACAUUGACUUGUGUUCUUCUACUCACAUGAACAGAUAUGAUUUUAAAUUCCUAUUCAAGAGCAAAAACAAUUUGAUGAAAAGUUCAUGUCAACAUUAGGGACUUUUUUUUCAUCAGUAUAACACCUGUACAUGUACCUGGGUUUUUUUUUAUCUGAAGUUUAUGAUACAGAUAGAUAUUUUUUGUCUACAUCUGUAAUUUUUCUGUGUAACUUUUCUGUACCUAAAUGAUAACUUUUUUGUACCUACAUCUAUAACUUUUCUGUACCUAAACAAUAACUUUUCUGUAACUUUAUGUAUAACUUUUCUGUACCUACAUCUAUAACUUUUCUGUACCUAAAUGAUAACUUUUCUGUAACUAUAUGUAUAACUUUUCUGUACCUACAUCUAUAACUUUUCUGUACCUAAAUGAUAACUUUUCUAUAACUAUAUGUAUAACUUUUCUGUACCUACAUCUAUAACUUUUCUGUACCUAAAUGAUAACUUUUCUAUACCUAUAUGUAUAACUUUUUUGUACCUAAAUGAUAACUUUUCUGUAACUUUAAUUUGUAACUUUUUUGUACCUAAAUGAUAACUUUAUUAUAACUUUUUGAUAACUUUUUUAUACCUAUUUAUUUUUAUGAAAAAAAUAAAUUGUCAAUAGUUACACUCUAGUUAUGACUUUUUUGUACUUAAGCAAAAAGUUACAAUAUAGGUAUAACUUUUUGAUGCUAAUUUGGAACCAUAAUUGAUCAGAUGGUUCCAAAUUGUGCUAACUUAGUUAUGACUUUUUUGUAACUUUUUUAAGGGCUCAUAGGUAUAACUUUUUAGUGCUUUUUUUUGGUAU